UCUUCUUUCUUCUUCUUCUCUUGUCUUCUUUUCGUCUCUUUCUCCCAAAGCGAACCGUAAACAGGAUGCGAAGAAGAAGAAGAAGAGGUGAGGAUGCGUUACCUUGUUGACGAAGACAUCUUGCACAAACAAAGAACCCAUUCAUUUUUUUUUUGAGUCUCGACAAGAAGAAAAAGUAUGAAGAGAUUUUUUUCUUGUUGUUGU
rnacentral:ribozyme from 13 species